CUGCUGGCCCUAGAUUUUCUCACAGCCAAUCCUGUUGUCUAAGAAGGUGUUAACUGGAGGAAAACACUUUUGAUGCAAAGAUAGAAGACACAUACUCAGAAUGCAACAAAGUAUCUAAUUGACUCAGAGUCCACAGUCUAGGUCUGUGAAUUAAUGGCUCAAGUCUGGGAAUUAGGUAAAUCAUGAAAUUUCCACACUUGAUUUUAAUAAAAUGCUCUACACCCCUGAAAACCAUCCCUUGGAGCCCUAAGAAGAUACAUCAGGGCAGGUUCACAUCUCUAAAUCAUGGACAAUCUACAUUCUGACAAGGAUAAAGAAAAGAGAAUUGCUGUUAUUCUCAAUGAGUUUAAGAGUUGCUAAGACAUCAGAGAUAGCAAGCAUAUUUUAAUUUUACUACAUUUAGGAUGGAGAAUUUACAAUCAAUUAAACCUAACUGAACAGGUGUUUUAAAAGAUAGGUGGUCAGUCCAAUCUACUAAAAAAAGGGUGGUGGUCCAUUUGAAAAUUUACAUGGAGAUAAUGUCAAAGAGCAUAUGAUAACAGUAAAGAGUAAUCACAUGGUUAGGCUUGGUAGUAGUAACUUGGAAUUUAAAUUUCUGGGAGAGUACAGUACUUUAUCUGGAAGAUAAAGUAAUAAUUUAAGCUACUGUAAUUUAUGAAAAUAAAAAGUAAAAUAAA
rnacentral:lncRNA from 1 species